UCCUCAAUAGCUCAGUAGUCGAGUAGUCAACUUUUAACUGACUGGUCAUAGGUUCAAAUCCUACUUGGGGAG
rnacentral:tRNA from 1 species